UACGAAGGGGGCGAGCGUUGUUCGGAUUUACUGGGCGUAAAGCGUGCGCAGGCGGUGAUGUAAGACCGAUGUGAAAUCCCCGGGCUUAACCUGGGAAUUGCGAUGGUGACUGCAAGGCUAGAGUUUGGCAGAGGGGGGUAGAAUUCCACGUGUAGCAGUGAAAUGCGUAGAGAUGUGGAGGAACACCGAUGGCGAAGGCAGCCCCCUGGGUCAAAACUGACGCUCAUGCACGAAAGCGUGGGGAGCAAACAGG
rnacentral:rRNA from 1 species